UACGAAGGGGGCUAGCGUUGUUCGGAAUUACUGGGCGUAAAGCGCGCGUAGGCGGUUUUGCAAGCCAGAGGUGAAAUGCCUGAGCUCAACUCAGGAAUGGCCUUUGGGACUGCGAGGCUUUGAGGACUGGAGAGGUGAGUGGAAUUCCCAGUGUAGAGGUGAAAUUCGUAGAUAUUGGGAAGAACACCGGUGGCGAAGGCGGCCAUCUGGACCGGCACUGACGCUGAGGCGCGAAAGCGUGGGUAGCAAACAGG
rnacentral:rRNA from 1 species